GCAGCAAUAGAUGUGUAAGCAUCAGAGGCAGCAAGAGGUUAAUGUUCACUGCUGUUUCAAUAAGUGACUUUCAGCACAGUGAGAUUUCAUUGUAAAGAAGCUGAUCCAGUUUGCUGUUCUGAAGGCAAGAAAGAGCUAGCUGAGUUAGGAAUGAAGAAUUUUCCUGUAGAGUACUACUUACAGAUGCCAGAUGGCAUGUGAACAAGUGGGAUAUUACAAAAAGGUCUGUAAUGAAUUUAUACCAGAUGGAGAGUGUGACUCCAACACGUGGUCCACACAAGGAGACAUCCAGUUACCUACCCCUUAUUUCUGGGACCUCCCUGAAUGACAUUUCAAAUGCAAGUAAUAACAUAAUAUGCAUUACUUUUCAUACUGAUGCCUAUCAAAUAAAGUUAUGUGAAUUUUUAUAACCGAU